UACGUAGGGUGCAAGCGUUGUCCGGAAUUACUGGGCGUAAAGCGUGCGCAGGCGGUUUGCUAAGAGAGAUGUGAAAUCCCCGGGCUUAACCUGGGAACUGCGCUUGUAACUGGCAAGCUGGAGUGUGGCAGAGGGGGGGUGGAAUUCCACGUGUAGCAGUGAAAUGCGUAGAGAUGUGGAGGAACACCGAUGGCGAAGGACGCCCCCUGG
rnacentral:rRNA from 1 species